CCCGCACUGCUAGGCCUCCUAGCCGACCGAGUCUACUCUGCUACGCUAGUUACUCUAGCUGAGUAAGUGCUGUGGUACGCAAGUAUAUGUUGGUAUGUUGGAAUAAAACGAUGGUGAUCUACGGCGUCAGGCUGCUGGCCGGUGAACUUGUGUUGGGGCUUGCAUAGGAUCCAUUGAUUUGUCUCACUAUCACUGCUCAGAUUGUCUACAGUCAGAUUUGGAAAUCCACCCCGUUCCCCUAAAUGUCCGCCGACGCGUUCGGACGUUGUCUCUGGAUAACGCCAGACGACCCCUCAUGUGUCCUUCCCGAGAGGCACUGUCCUUAUAUCUAAACCCUCAAAUUCAUCUAAUCUAUGCACGUGGAUCAUAUAGUAUAAAUUGUUCACCAAUUCAACAAUGUAACAAAGCAAAAUAAACCACAAUUCAACAAUCCGGACAUGGCAAAAAUAAAAUUCAACGUCCGAGCCACGACUGGACAAUCUGAUGAAUCACUCGUUGGAUGUCAUCCGUGUCGUGUGAUCUGCCGCCAUUCGUGGCUCAUGCGCUGCCUCGUAAUCUCUAUGCAUGUUGAUCUCCUUCUUCCUCUCCUCAAGCCACUUCUUGCCUUCCGCACCCAACAGGCCUGCGUCCGCCAACAUUAUCAUAAAAUUCUUGGUGUCUCGAGCAAAUUGCAACCUCUCCUCAAUCUCUAUUGAUCAAAAGUCCAGGCCUUCUCGAACUCCCAUUUGGGACACGCCUCCUUCUCCAACUAUCUUCUCCCUCUCAAUUUCCAACUUGUUGCUUUCAAUUUGCAACUUAUUCACUACUAGGGAAAAGCUUAUAGGCAGACGCUUACUAGUAGCGUGGAUUUAUACCCCUCGCUAUUGCUACUUACUAGUAGCGCGAGUUUAUAACCCCCGCUACUGCUAAGUCGAUAGUAGUAGCGCGGGUUUAUAACCCUCGCUACUACUAAGUGGUCUCUGCCAUGCCCCCCGACAUACCAUAGUAGCAGCAAGGGGUAUAAACCCGCGCUACUGCUAAGUUGAUAGUGGUAGCGCGGGUUUAUAACCCUCGCUACUACUAAGUGGUCUCCACCGUGCGCCACCCGGGACAUGCCAUAGUAGUAGCGAGGGGUAUAAACCCGCGCUACUACUAUCGACCCACCAAGACAUGUGUACACAUAGCGUGCGGAGGCCCAAAUCCAAACCCACACUCUUCUGAUUCCCCUUCUCUUCCCACCCGCGAUUCCCUUGCUCACCCACCGCCACUACCGGCCUCGCACCUCGGCGCCACUCACAAAUCUGACGACCUCCUCUCGCACUGCAGACCCCUCCCCCUCCAUCAUCCUUCUUCUCCGCUGUUGGAAGGAGAGGGAAACCAGCAGAGCGUCGUCCAUGGUGGCGGCCAGAUCCGCCAUGGACGUAGCCACUUACACCUCCUCGCCGGGUCAAGGGUCCCACGACAAGCAGCAGCAGGUCACCAGGCUUCAUCUAGGGUUUCGGGUGUCGGCUCCAACUCCGGCGGCCACCGGUGAGUUCCUCCUCCUACUGCUCUCUAUCUCUCUCUUCCUCUUUCUAAUAAUUUUCUCUUCUUUUAUAGCAGCAGUAGAAGAGAGGUGCGGGCACAAGUUGGGUGGGGAAGCACCAUCACCAUGGACAACUUCAUCCCCUCCAGGACCGGUAGCAGCCAUGGAUGGAGAGGACGAUGACGCCCAACAGAAGCAGCCUCCAUGGAUGGAAUUUUUUUUUAAUUCUCAAUUAGUUAGUAGUACCGCGGGGCCUUGACCCGCGCUACAACUAAGUAGCAGUAGCGCGGGUGGCAAUCGUGCUACUACCACUAGAAGUAGCAGUAGCGCGGGUACCACCCGCGCUACUGCUAAAAGUUAGUUGUAGCGCCCUAGCUGUAGCGCAGCCCCCGCGCUACUGCUAGGGAAUUACCCCCGCGCUACUACUAGGGUUUUCCCUAGUAGUGAUUGUUCAUCUUCUCCCGGUUCCAAUCCAUCCUCUCUUUCUACAGAUUCAAUAUGCGCUUGUACCCAUCCUCUUUCUUGUCAAUCCUUAUGGAAAAAUGCAUGUCCAUGUGGUGGACAUUUUUUACGUCGCAGCAUCACGAAUGAUCCUACCCUUAUCUCACUUGUUUCACUUUACUUGCCGGUUAUUCAUUGCCACGGUGACUCUUUCAUUACCCAAUGGAACUUCUUCCUCUUCCUUAUGCAAUCCAAUGGACUGGUGGGAGCUUGAGCCAUCAUUUGUCUUUAAUUUCUUGUUGCCUUUCUUGAGGUCAUCCACUACUUUUAUCCACUUUGUUUGGCCAUUAAAUUUUAUCAAAAAUGGCUAAAAUUGAAUGGCUUCUUCUCUGUUUGUUGGUACAAAGUGGCCGCCAACACCAUCUAUAUAAAAAAGUUAUCAUGAUAACCCGACAUAAAAAAAUAGCAAUGCAAAUUGUGACAAAGAAAAUCAAUUCAACUCACAUGACUUUGGACUCCAAUCGCACUUUGAUUCCGGCCACGCACAGAAGCAUAGUGGCCAACAAACUUGUUGACGUGAUCUUCGAUGGUGGACCUUCUAUGUUGGAGAGACGACACAUUACAGGUGGUAUUGUUAGGAUUCGGCUCCACGUAUUCCUUGUGUUCAUUAUAGUGCUUGUGGAUUUUCUCCCAAUACUUGUUAGCCUUCUGCUCUUUGCCACUUAUGGGGUCCAAGCUUAUCGCCAACCAAGAUUUAACCAACAGAACAACCUCAAUUGUUGUGAAUGUCGUACCUAUUGCCUUGCUUUUCUUUGCCCUUUUCUUCUUAGUGCUCGAUGUGCCCCAACAUAAAAAGUAGGAUAAUUUGGAUCCCACAAGGCACAUACUCCAUAGGGUCCGUAGGCUCUUGCCCCUCAUUGAUCAUGUUUGACAUGAAGUUUUCCUAAAAUAAUCAUGAUUCCAAAUAAACUAACGUAAUAUGCAACUACUUGAUUCAAUGGGAUAUGCAACUAACUAAUCCACAACAUCAUAGUUAAUAUAACGAAUGAACCAGUAGAAAAUGGAGCAAAAUUUGUACUGUCUCCUGACGGAUCAUUUCGUCCAACAGGAACCGGGCAGAUUAGGCAUUCUGUCUCCAUGGACGAAUUUUUCUAUGAUCUUUGUUGAGAUCAAAGUUUAUGUUAAUUCCCAUCGUAUCGCGACAACUGCUUAGCGGGGCCGGUAUGGUCCACCAAUAACGGAGUCACAUCCGGCAGAUCUCGGGUAGCGAGUCCCGAGCUAAGUGUGGCCCACCAAUGACAGACUAAAAUCCAGUAGAUCUCGGGUAGGGGGUCCUAAGCUAAGUGUCUCAACGCGGUGGUAAUGUGUGCACGGGUUUUCGCACAGGUUCGGGCUCUCCUAAGAGAUAAAUCCCUACGUCUUGUUGUACUACUUUGGGAUGAAUUACAAGGUUUCGGUGAUCUACCUUGACAUUGUUGUGUGUUUCUAGAUUUGAUGAUGUAAGUUGCGUUCUAUUGUCUAGCCCAGCCUCGGCUUAUAUACGAAUAUCGGAUGACUAGGAUUAGAGGAGUCCAAAUCGCCUAUGUUGUUGGAGAAGAGUCCUCCACGGAUAAGGAGUGCUUGAACGACAAGACUUCUUGAUUUUCCUUGGAGAUCGCCAUGGGCCGCCCAAAGUGGCCCAGGACAGAACCGACAAGGGGGUCCUUAGCGAGGCUCACCUGGCCGGGAGUCAUCAUGGUGAGAGGCCCUCUAGCCAGGACACCGUCACUCAGGGCGUAUGUGUUGGGAAAAGUAGUAGAAAAAAAGAAGAUGUGUCGGUGUAGAUCGCACUGGGAGUUCCUCGGUCCCUUCAAGGGAAGACCGAAAGCGCGACCUCUCUACAAGUUACAAGUGUACAGUCUUCACGAUCCAGCAUCGCUUUGCCAUCUAGAGCUAAUUGUCGCCGGAGAAUUAGAGGAAGGAGAUUAGAACCACAUUGGGCUUCUAAUUAUAAGGAUUAGAGGAUCUAGCUCUAGCUCUAAUUGAUCAACUAGGACCAACUAGAAGUAGAACUAGAGAAUUAGAGGAGGCUCUAAAACUUGUCUCUCUCAAUGGGGAAAAUCCUCUAGUAUAUAUAGGUUUGAGGGGAGAGGAGGGGCGCCAUACAUGGGUGAAAGGGCUCCCCCCUUGUGCUGGCCUAGAGGGGGAGGAGGAGUCCUCCCCCUAGUCCAAUUCGGCCUCCCCAAAUGGGAAAGGGGGCGCCUCCCCAUUUGGGCCCUUGUGGCCCGAUCCUCCUUCCACUUCUUGGCCUUUUAAUACCUGUAAAAGCCUCCUAGUAAUUACUAGAGCCUUUUAUUAUUAAUUUAACAUCUCUGGAAACAUUUUUCCACCUAUAUAUUAUUUAUCGGUAAUACCCGGUAUUGCCCGAUAAACUCUGAAAUCCUUUCGGUGACUCUAAAACUCUUCCGGUACCUCUCGAAACUAUUUCUAAUACUAAGAAACUAUUUUAAGAAUAAAUCCUCGAUACUCAAGUCCUACUAACACUCUGCAAAUCGUAAUUACAUUAAGCGUGUGACCCUGUAGGUUUGGUUAAACAUAUACAUGAACAAAAACCCCUUUGUUCAAAGACCGAUAGCGGAAACAUGGGCGUAUGUAUCGAUUCCUAUGAGUACAUGAAUGAUAUUCGAGCGAACCUUUGGUUAUCAUGUGUUAUUCCUUUUGCUUCGCAACAAUGUACAAAACCCGAGAUGUAUCUGUAUCUUCUUGAGUCAUACACGUGCUCACUAUACCGAUCUUCUCGUUACCAGUUUUCUUCUUCUUUCUCAUUAAUAUGUUCCAGCAUCCCUGUGACAUAGUCACCUGUGUCUGACCAAACGAUGAUAUAUGCCAUCACACCGAGAGGGACCUAAGAAUUUAUCUCCGUCAUCGAAGGAGAAAAUUCCACUCACGAGUUAUCUAGUCCCUUGUCAAACUUUCAGAUGAACAUGUAAGUUUUUGUGAUGAUCAUCGACGUUUGAGCAAUCCCAAAGUCCGCCCUACGGUAAGAAGUGACUACGAUUAUCUCAUGGUCUAAGGAACUAAAACACAUGUUAACACUUCAUGUUAUAAUAAUUGCUUUCAGAACAUAUCAACUCAAAGUAUAACAAACAAGUUUGGGUCGAUUCAACAUGGUCGUUCUUCUAACGUCAUACUCUGUUUUUUUAGGACUAUCGUUACACUUAACGAUAUCCUAAGAUCUGGAAAACAUGAUCACCAACAACACUUGAGCUAGUCUUAGAGGCGAGAUUAGGAAUCUUAUUUUACCUUUUGUCAUUCCACACGUGCAUAUUAGUUUUUCACUGGAUCGCACAUUUCAGGAUCAUCACAGUUAUAGCGUAGAAUAUAAACUCUUAAUCAUGAAUAUGAAAAUACAAUAUUAUUGCUUCUAGUGCAUAGUUCCAACACCAGUAGGCCUCGUGGCGGCCUUGUCACAGCGGUCGGUGCAAGGACCCAUCUUGAAGAUAAAUUAUAAUCUUGGCAUGCAAGCCAAGAACCCUCAUGGCAAGGUCGGUUAGGAUUCCUAUAAAACCUAGCUCUUGCUGCCCAUUCAUAAGGCGAGACUAGGGUUAGUUCGAGGCAUUUGUUCCAUUCUACAGACCUCGAUAGUACUCAUCAUCCUCCACGUGUAACCCCCUCGCACGAGGUGCUCCCACAUAUCAAUCCAAAACAAACUAGGAGUAGAAUAUUACCUUGAUCAUGAAGGCCUGAACCUGGGUAAAACGACCCAUGCAAACUCCCUUCUAGUACUUCCGGCUACGCUCUCCAGCCUACUGAGGGCACUGGCGGUUUUCUGCACCAUCAAUUAAUUAAACAUACAAAAGUAAUUACCAUAAAAAUGGUGUAAAUGUUUCAUUGUGAAUGGAACUUAAUUCGUUGAUAUGAUGGACACCAUAAGUUUUGUAAAAUGUAGAAGUUAAUUACUUAGUUUUGAAGCAUCGUCGACAUCUGGCAAUCUUAAAAUUGCUAAUCACAUAUGUUGAUUCAAUCAUGUGCCUUACAAUAAAACAUAUACCAACAAAAACUGCAUACCUAAAAGCUAAAACAAAAAAACCAUUUGGGCCAAAAUAAGCCCAAUGGAAGUGGCACAGUCCACUUCCUUUUUCGUUUUUCUAAUUUUUGGGGAAAGGGGGGACGUGGGCUGCAACCCACUUGAUCUUAUCACCCGGGUUGUUAGGGUUGGGGUUGCCAAACACUUGUACCGAUGAGGGGUCCUAGUCUGCGAUUUCAGUAUUGGGAACUCUCUUGGCGCCCACCACUGCUCUUUUCGCUUGUUCCCACAUGUCAUAUGUCGUUCGAUCCAGUUUUUUAUCUGCUCGAUUUUCUUCUCCCUGCUCUCUUACAUUUCAUGAACUUCAAAAAAUAUGAAAAAUAAAAAAAUGAAUUAGAAAUAGUUCAGAGGGUAGAUUAUUGACCAGCUGACCGUUAACCUUUCAUCUCUGACCAGAUCCUUUGUCCGUAGUUUUUUUUGGAAAAAAUCAUGUAUAUGAGAAAAAUAUCACAAAAAUUGACAAAAGAUCAUAAGUUUGAAAGAAGUUUGUAAAAUUUAAAAAAUCCAUGAUUCUAGUUUGGAAUUUUUUCAUAGAUUUGAAAUUGUUCAUAAAGUUAAGAAAAAUUUCACGGGUUUAAAAAUAAAGUUCAUCAAUUUGGAAAAAAAUAUUGAUUCGGAAUUGGAGAAAACAUCAUGAAUUCAAAUAAUGUUCACAAACUUGUGAAAAAUAUCUUGAAUUUGAAAAAAUUUCAUAGGUUCAAGGAAAGUUCACGAAUUUGAAAAGAAAAGUUCAAGAAUUUUGAAAGAAUCCCAAUUUGGGAAAGUUUAUGAAUUUAUUUUUUCUAUUUUCUUAAAAGUUCAUGCAUCUGAAAAAAUGAAAAAUGAAAACAGAAAAACCGUAAAAAUGGUCCAAAGCUUGAAAAAGCUUCCAAAAACCGGGACGAGUGACUCCCGCAAAAGUGCAUUACGUGGGCUGGCCGAACUGCUUGGGUAGUGAGCGUCGCAUAUGAACAGAACAUUAUCUGGUACGUUAAGCGUCAUAUAGGAUUUGUGUCUCCCGAUCCCCUUCUCCCUAUUGUUCGCCAUUAAGAUUUGUUUCAUAUGAGUUACCAAAGAGGCAACGAGACAAUAAUCAUUGUAAGUUGUACACCAUAUUCUCAUUAUUUCUUCACAAGGCUUUUGAGGGUGUUUCGGCUACUUAUCAAAUAUAUUUUUUCUCACAUUUUUCCUAUGGUUUUUUGGGUGAAAUUCUGAUAAUUAUACAAACGAUUCGAGAUAGUACAUAAAAACAAGAAUAUUCGUUGUAUAGGGAGGAGCUAGUGUGAAUUGUACGAUUCUUGGUUACAUCGCAUUGCACACNNNNNNNNNNNNNNNNNNNNNNNNNNNNNNNNNNNNNNNNNNNNNNNNNNNNNNNNNNNNNNNNNNNNNNNNNNNNNNNNNNNNNNNNNNNNNNNNNNNNNNNNNNNNNNNNNNNNNNNNNNNNNNNNNNNNNNNNNNNNNNNNNNNNNNNNNNNNNNNNNNNNNNNNNNNNNNNNNNNNNNNNNNNNNNNNNNNNNNNNNNNNNNNNNNNNNNNNNNNNNNNNNNNNNNNNNNNNNNNNNNNNNNNNNNNNNNNNNNNNNNNNNNNNNNNNNNNNNNNNNNNNNNNNNNNACUAAUGGCACAACCACAAGAUGGCAUAAACAUGAUGCCCAGAGUAGAGAGGAAUGUGACGCUUGGUAAAACAGAAGCUGCAACACUGCGCAAAACUACCCAAGCAAAGAACAUGUCCCAAAUAUCAAAAUCUAUCGCUGGGCAUGCCACGAGCAAUCAAGACGAUGCCUUCAUGAAGAAAAACAAUGCCGUGACACACAAGCUUUGCAUAUUUAUGAAAAAUGUAUAUGGUUAAGUGCUCUUUUUUUGCUUAUAUUGCUUAAGCAACAGUAUGUGUAGUUCAACCCAGGUGUAUAUGUAUAUCCCGCCAAUUAUAUCGUCAAUAACGAUUAUGAAUCCAUCCAUUCAUCUAUCUCUCACACUCUUUAGUUUUCGCUUGUAACACGACCGAAGAGACUAGCGCACCACAACCAUAAACCAAUGUUGGCCUCUUGUGACCUUUCGAUUGCGCCCCGCAAUGCAGGUGGUGUUGCUGCGUUAUGCUGUCUCAAAUGUGCGGAGCCUUUCGAUUGUGUCGAUGGUGCAGUGUCAUGGUCUUGUCUGCUAGGCGAUGCCGACUUCGCCCGUGGCACACAGGCGCCGUGGCGUCGUCUCGGCCUCGCGUGACCUUUCGUAUGCACCCUCGGCACAGGUGGUGUCGUGGCGUUGUGCAGUCUUUGAUGUGUGAAGCCUUUUGAAUGCGUCGAUGGUGCGGUGUCCUGGCUUGCUCGGCUGGCCAAUGCCGUUCGAUCACAUUGGUGGUGCUCUGUGUUGUGUUGGGUUGUGUCUUCCCUCUUUGUUGGUAUGUUGUGGUGUGUGUUGUUUUUGCUUUAUCUCUCCUCCUCCUGUUCCCCUGUAAUUCUGCUGCACUUGAACCUAAAAGGCAGUGGGGCGGUCACCUACCUUUGGAUGCCUCGCAUGAAUUCAAUGAACUCGUCCGCUAGCUUCCGCGUACCACCCACCGAGCAGAGCCAGCGAGCAACCAACACCGGCCAACUACCCACUGGAGUUGAAUGCAGGACGUCCAAAGUAAUGCAGGACGUCCAAAGUGUGCCCGUAAACCAUUCUGCUGACCGUAGUCAUGGCGAGCUGGUGCAAUUCAGUGCAUGCUCUAGCUGUAGGGUAGAGUGUUCAACUGAUUGUUACAGCGGCCGUGGGCGAUUCAUUAGACGGCUCCCGGCAGGUGAGUGGUUCGUUUGCAGUGAUGGACGUCCUCGCAUUUCACUUAUUGCCCCUGCAUCUUUCUUUAAUCGCUCACCUGCUCCGUCGGCGGCGAUGGCCGCGUACGCUCCCUACGUGUCGCCGCAUGGCAUGCACAUGGCCGGCUCGGGCCACGGCGAUGCGUGGCUAGCUAUAAAUAGCCCAGCCGGGAGCUCCUAGAUCGAUCUCCACACAACUACCAGUACACUCCACUCCCAUCACACACACGGACACACCUGCGAGAGCGUGAGCCAUGGCGUCCAUGGGGAAGAAGCAGGUGGUGGCGGCGCUGAUGCUGGUGCUGGUGGUGCUGGCGGCGGCGCCGGGCGGGGCGCACGCGGCGUGCCAGGCGUCACAGCUGGCGGUGUGCGCUUCGGCGAUCCUGUCCGGGGCCAAGCCGAGCGGCGAGUGCUGCGGCAACCUGCGGGCGCAGCAGCCGUGCUUCUGCCAGUACGCCAAGGACCCCACCUACGGGCAGUACAUCCGCAGCCCCCACGCGCGCGACACCCUCCAGUCCUGCGGCCUCGCCGUCCCGCACUGCUAGGCGCCGGCAGGCCCCUGGCGCACAUGGCAAGCUAGCUGCCUCAGUGACCAUGAGAGCGUCAGACUAUAGCUAGCCUAUCUGAGUGCCUACGUGUUGCGUCCAUGAAAGCAUCUUCCUGUCAACCAUGUGGUUCGACUUUGAUGAUGCUGGAAUAAAAAUAUAAAAUGUUGGGUGAUGAUCUACGGCAGCCAUGUUGCUUCUUGGCUGCUGCUGCUGGUAAUAAAAUUUGUGUUGCAACUUGAUGAGAUCGGCUGAGUUGUGUUCAGUGACCAAACCAAACUGCCCCUAUCAUAGAAUUGGUAAAUCUAGUGGUGCGGUAUGUAACGGCGAAGAAUCAACCGUUAGUGUUAUGGUCAAGAAUGGUGCAGUGACUAGGUACAAGAGGUUUGAAUGGAAUACAUAGAAAUGCUUGUGGGCCCUCUGCAUGCACCAUAACUUUUUUCAAGUCACAGUGAAGGGGGGAAUGAUUGCAUGUAUGCUAAGUAUUCUUUCUCUCUAUCCUGUACAACAUACUUUUAUUUUAUUUUUUAAACGAAUUUCUUAUAGAUCUUCCCUAAAUCAAAAGAAUGUUCUCAUUUUUUAGUAAUAUUUCAAUUCACAGCGAGAAGAUCUUCGAAACAAAACAAAUCAUUGAUAAAAACAUGAACCAGUUUUUAUUUUAUUGUUGCUAUCCCAUUUGAACUAGUUUUAGUAAUUUACUCUUUCAAUUGUAUUUGAAAUCAUUGUCACAUAUUUAAAAAACCAUUUCAUAGAUUAAAAAUUAUUAGUUUCACACACUGAAAUAAACAUUUUAGGAAAAUAUAAGUAAGUUUCAAACAAAAAAAUAUGUUUUAUAUAUUAAAUUAUAAGUUCAAAUACUGAAAUAAGAAACUUCAGAAAAUACAAAUAUUUUUCUCAUUAUAUAGUUAUUUACAGCUAGCUAGCAGAACAACUAGAACCCUAGCUGGGCAUAUUGGUUGGCUUCGGUGUGCUCUGCCUACGGCACAAAAGUUGGCGAUCAGCACUUGGAUGCGCGCAAAAUGCUGGACUUGCAUAAAAUUUUGUAUGGGUUCGACCUUGAAUCUACAAAGGGUGUGUCGUCACAUAUAUCCUCCCCCACACCCCACCCCGCCAACAAAAAAGUCAUAUUUCGCGCAUAUAGGCAAACUAGAUGAUAUCCCGCGCGUUGCUGCGGGAAUCAGUUGCAACAUAUAUCAAUAGAAUAUAGCUACAUGAAACAUUAAUAUUUAGAUUAAUUAUAUGAGAACUAAAACUGAAUUAAUAUAAGUAAUCUUUUCCCAUGCACUGUUGCAUGUACAUGUUGCACUUUACCCAUGCAUGAUUGCACAUUAAGGUGGCAUAGUUGCAUGUUGAGAGAAAUAUAUUAGUGGGAUCACCUACUUAGUUAUAGUAGUAUAUAACAUUAGUAUCCAUAUAAUAUAGAUUUUGAAACCAAAUGGUAAUAUCACUCAACUGUUAGAAAUGUUGAUUGAAAAAUGAUAAAUCGAUAGCAUGUAAUGGACAAAUGCAGAAAUUAAUAUAUAUUCUAUUUAGCACGUGAACAGCUUGAUUGAUUGACAUUUGCAGAUGUGUAGAAAAAGGUAAUAUUGAUAAGUUGGUCAAAUCUGGCAGUCUACCAGUGUAGCACAAACUAAUUCGUGCACAUUGCCCUGUUUGGUCCACAUCGAUAAUUAACCAAUCUAGGCGACAUAAUUAUUUUUUAAUUGGUCUUGCAAUAAUACUACCCAAUCAGAUACACAAAUUAAAUAAAAUUGCAUGCAUAUACUUUUGUUUCUAGUAUAACCAUCUCACUCAAGUAAAAAAAAAAUACCAAACUUGUCUCAUUAGGCAGGCCGCAUGCCAUCGAAUGGGUGUAGUGCAACAACAUAUGGAUUAAUCAUGGAGUGGCAAGCUUAAAAAAAGGUACAAAAAGACCAAUUAGGCAGCAGCAAAAAUUCGUCGCCUAGAGGUAGCAACGCAUUAGGAGUCUGAUCCAUGCAAACUGUAGUGAUUCAAUACAGAAAAGGAAACAGUCAGGCCGAGAUAAAUUGAAUGAGUAACUGAACAAAAAAAGGAUGUGUUUUUACCUAGUACUUGUACCACGUAUUAGAAGGGGAGCAAACGCCAUGGCCAUCAACAAAUGUUACGGUUUAAAAAGCACGCAUGUGUUUUGCAGGUCCACAUUAUCCCAAUAAUUUAUAGAGAAAACAGAUAUGAGGGAAACCUUUUGAUCUGACGUAGAGCGACCAUGACAGCUAUAGCACCAGAGUAGUGGCCACUGUAUGUCUCCAUUGCCAACGACCAGGAUCUGAAGGGGAUGCAAGCACACAGUGAAUCCAGAAGCGAGUAACGAUUCAAUGCCAAGACGAAUUACCUGAGGGGAAGUUAGGGGGUAAACAUGUUAGAGAAUUCACAUCUGAUCUUUUGAAGCCGGAGUAGAAGUUUGCCAGCAUCACCUGCGGCGCACAGAACAUGGGAAGGGAAGUGCCUCGGUGUUGAUCACAUAUGAGGAAGAUCCAUAGAGGGGUUCGCUAGGCUUGUGGACGGUGGCGAACCGGCGGCUGACCGCUCCACUACCUUGUUGCUUUCAUGGCUGCAUGUGAUGUACUUAUGGGAGGACGAAACGGCUGGGGGAUUGAUGGGAUAGUGAAACCACAGGCUGCUAAAAUUCUUUGGGACCAUAAAUGUCACGGUUAACUAUUGGAUUUCGGAGCAAAUCUAGUGCGCUCCAGUAAUCAGAAGCUGAAAGGAAGUUGUAUUUUCACCACUACUAGAAAAAAGGCUGUUAGUGGCGCAUCAGUUUUUUCUAUUAAUGGCGCACUAUAGGUGCGUCAUUAUUAACAAAUAGUAAUGGCGCACCAGAAGUGCGCCGUUACUAUCACAGAUACUAAUGGCACACCUAUAAUGCAUCAUUACAGUGCCUAGAAGUGCGCCAUUACUAUCUGACUUAGUAAUGGCGCACCACAUAGAAGUGCACCAUUACUAACAAAUUUUUUUCAAAUUUUUUUUAGGAAAAAAAUUUUCAACUUUUUUUCAGAAUUUUUUUUUUUCGUUUUUUUCUUAAUCUCGGGUCACUAUGGCUUAAUCUCAGGUCAAUAUGCUUAAUUUCAAGUCAAAUCGCACUCCGUGGUCAAACUUCCCGGAAAGUCACCCAUCCUCACAUUACUCCAGCCCGAGCACACUUAACUUUAGAGUUCUAUCCAACCCCAGCAUCAGCUCACUUAACAGGCACUUGUUGAUAUAUCUAUCAUAUCAAUCCUAUUAAACCUUUUUUGACAUUUCCAUCAUUUUCUUUUAUUUUUUCUAAAACUGAAAAGGCGGUCCAGGGGGUGUGUGUGUGUGCAUUUGGUGAAAUUUUCGGCCACCUAGAAAGUUAGUAAUGGCGCACCUUCGCAAAGUGCGCCAUUACUAUGUGUAUGACUUGGGCAAACCUUGGUCAAAGUUGGUAAUGGCGCACUUUGUGUAGGUGCGCCAUUACUAAGUUUGACAUAGUAAUGGCGCACCUAUGCAAAGUGCGCCAUUACUAAGUUUGACCAAGGUUUGACCCAGUCAUACACNNNNNNNNNNNNNNNNNNNNNNNNNNNNNNNNNNNNNNNNNNNNNNNNNNNNNNNNNNNNNNNNNNNNNNNNNNNNNNNNNNNNNNNNNNNNNNNNNNNNNNNNNNNNNNNNNNNNNNNNNNNNNNNNNNNNNNNNNNNNNNNNNNNNNNNNNNNNNNNNNNNNNNNNNNNNNNNNNNNNNNNNNNNNNNNNNNNNNNNNNNNNNNNNNNNNNNNNNNNNNNNNNNNNNNNNNNNNNNNNNNNNNNNNNNNNNNNNNNNNNNNNNNNNNNNNNNNNNNNNNNNNNNNNNNNNNNNNNNNNNNNNNNNNNNNNNNNNNNNNNNNNNNNNNNNNNNNNNNNNNNNNNNNNNNNNNNNNNNNNNNNNNNNNNNNNNNNNNNNNNNNNNNNNNNNNNNNNNNNNNNNNNNNNNNNNNNNNNNNNNNNNNNNNNNNNNNNNNNNNNNNNNNNNNNNNNNNNNNNNNNNNNNUGUGAAGGUGCGCCAUUACUAUGUCAACUUAGUAAUGGCGCACCUAUACAAAGUGCGCCAUUACUAUGUGUAUGACUGGGUCAAACCUUGGUCAAACUUAGUAAUGGCGCACUUUUCACCUGGUGCGCCAUUAGUAAUAUGGCCAUUAAUGGCGUACCUAUAUCUGGUGCGCUACUGCUAUAUAGCAGUGGCGCACCACAUACAUGGUGCGCCAUUAAUGUUCAUAUUAGCUAUAGCCGUUUUUCUAGUAGUGCACCGUGGGAACACUUCAUGACAUGGCUUGAUGUGGUGUUAUGCAUGUGCAAAAUUAGUGGUCGAACUGAACUGAUGAUGUGGAGGGCCUGCAUGUCAAGAGAAAUGAGGUACUGGGGAGCUCCUAUUUAGAUAUAGUAGAUUGGAACAGAGCAUUAUGGUUGGGUAUAACUUGCGAAUGAAAACUGCGUUUCAUUAAAAGUGACAUGGCGGGAGAGAACUACACGACCUGUGGGUAGAUGUAGGCAGCGAUAGUCUUUGUGGGAGUCAGAAUAAGCGAGAAAGACACACAACAAGGUUCUGGGGGAGAGUUUGUUAUCAGAACUUGCGGCUAGAUUUGGGAAACACGGACAGCCAAAAAUACGUAGAUCGGCGUAGGUUAGCUGAGCGAGGAAGAGGGACUGCAAGGGGAGAAACGCGGGCAAGUUUUUGUGGGCCAAAUAUUUAGUAAAUAGGUGGCAUAGCGAAGGGCUUCAACUUAAUAUUGAGGAGGCAUGGAGGCUUGAAGCAGAAGAAUGCGGAGAAUAUUGUUGAUAGAGCGAAGAGAACGUUCAGCUUUUUCGUUUUGGGGCGAGGUAUAGGGGUAAGAGAAUCGUAGAAGAAUACCAUGGUGAAGGAAGAAAUCACGGUUGCGUGAGUUAUCGAACUCACUGCCAGUGUCGCAUUGUAGGGAACGAAUAGGGAGAGAGAAGUGAGCUGACACGCGACAUUGAAAAUUAGCAAACAAACUAUGAACAUCCAAUUUUGCACGAAGAGGAAAGGUUUAUAUGAAGUCAGAGUAAUCAUCUAAAACAACAAGAUAAUAUUUGAAACCGGAAACACUAAGGGUAGGUGACCUCCUGGGUGGUAAGGGAGUUCAUUGCAGCAUGAAAGCAGCCUCAUCCCAAGUCGGCGCGGUUAAAGUCGAUGCAUAUGUAGUGGACUGGACGGCUGAGGAGAUGGUGUCGCUGCCUGUGCCGCUUGCUCCCAGGAUGGCGGUGGAGGUACAUGGACGAUGCCAUCGCAGCCGCAGCAGCCUAGUAGAGGGGUGCAUAGGCAGUGUAGGCAUGUGGCGGAGGAGGGGAGCCAAGGAGACCAAGAGCACCGAUGGAUGGGCGAAGCCCGGGCACCCAGGUGCCACUGCACGCCGGAGGAGCGCCGUAGGGUGAAGGCGUUGUCCAGGGCAUGGGGCCUGCAUAAGCCCCGUCCAUGGAUCAUGCUGAGGGCGCCAUGAGGAGAGCAUCGGUGAGGAGGGCACCGGAGCUCUCGCUGCGGGCGUGGACAUUGGUGUCGAAGCCGACGAGGAGGAUGGCGAUUCGUGCUUGGGCAGUCGGUAGAUUGGGUUUUUGCCCUUGUAGUUGGGGCUCGGUUGCCAGCCGGGCGGCGAGUCAGGGCCGGAUGUCGCCGGCGGUGGAGCCGGAGGAGAUGGAGCAGGGCGGGCCGCGGUGUCGAAGAGGUGCGGGGUACUGGCCUUGCGCGCCUGAUUCUGCUCCUCCAUUCGGAGAAUGGAGCGGGCCUCGGCAAGUGUCGGCAAAUGACAGAGGAGCGGGAUGAAGGUCGCCUGCCGGGCGUACCGGUUGUCGAGGCCGCCCAUGAGUGCUGAAGAAAGCAACCACCUCACCGAGUUCGCGGAGCUCGUCCCCGAUAGCCUUGAUGCAUUGGCAGAAGACACCAACAGGGCAAUCACCCUGUGUAAUGGUGCGGAGCUUGGUGUUGAGAGAGGAGACACGGGCAUCACAGUUGUCCUGAAACACCAGCCGUAGUUCGAUCCAAAUGUCGUGAGUAGUCGCGCCGUCGGUGACCACGAGGUUAAAGAGCUCGGUGGAUAUGCGUGUGUACAACCACUGGAUAAGAGCAAGAUCAUCGAGCACCUAGGGUUGUGCGGGGCUGGUUGUGAGUCGCCAGAUAUGUGGUGAAGGAGAGAACAACGGCCCAGGUGAAUCUCAAAUAGAUGUUGCGAGUGGUAAUAUUCAUGGCUAUGGAGAUCCAGAACGAUCGGGAUGAAGGGGUGAUGCCAAUAGUGUCGCUGAAAGAGAGGGAGGAGGGAAUGGUGAGAGUGGCCGGUGGCGGAGGGGGCGGUGCACUGUAGUUGGUGGGAAGAGUUGGCUGGCCGCCGGUGGUGGUGGGAAUAGUUGGCUGGCUGCCGGUGGUGGUGGGAAGGGUUGGUUGUCCACCUGUGUUGGUCAUGGCGACCGUGGGAGGGAAGGAGAGAACCAGGUGUCUGAUACCGUGAAGAUUGAAAGAUUCAAGGCUUAGUUUGGCAGCAUAGUUUUUGAAAAGCCAAAGUAUUCUAAAACCACAGUAUUUUGAUGUGUGGGAUGUGUGGGUAACAAAUACUUUGGUUUCUUAAAAACGUAGUUUCUCUCAGUUUUGUCCAGUUCACCGAAGUGUCUGGGUGGUAUUGUUUUGCUGCAGUUUUUACUACAUUGCCAAAUCAGCAUGUGCUAACUCUGCUACACCUAAAGAGCAACACGACCGGAUUAGUCAGCAAGUGCUAACAGCUGCCAGCUGCAUGUAGCCUUGCCAUGCACGAGGUCUUCCAGACCUCCUGUUUGCGAGUGUGCGCUUCAAUGGCCAACAAUCUACUCCAUGAGCUAGCUUGGCUCGAGACGUGCGGCACUGCCAGAACCCAGAAAGUAAUCGGCAACCAGUGAAUUGUUUAAAUAAGAAGUAGGAGUAACAGACAGAGGAGUCGAAGGCAGCGAUUAGAUUUUCUGAUGUGUACGUCAACAGGCUGAGUGCUCUCCCCGACAACUUCUCUAGGUUCGGUUUAGAAAAAAGUGGCCGCGACCUCUUUUUUAAACAGUAUGAGAGAUACCAGAGUAUCUUAAACCACAUUAUUUUUUUAAGCCAAAAACCUCAAAGCAUUUAAAUACCAAAGUUUUUUCAGAAACCACGGUAUUCCUAAAAAAACUCCGUAAAUGGUUCACUCCCAAACGCACCCUUGUGUUCUGUAUUGCAUUCCAAAAUACAGGUGAGCAGAUACAUAUAGGGUGCUGGGUGCAACCGCAGUAGCAGAGACGUAUAGCCGAUCGGUGUGCUGAUCGUGGGAGUAUAGGAGUGGACGAAGUCCACGCACUAACAGAGAGGAGGGAGGCACGUUGGCUCAGCGGCGCUCUGGGGAGAGUGCGGCGGCGGUAGUGGUGGGUAGGAUCGGGGAAGAAGGUCGCCGGGUCACGGUCGUGAUUUCGGCUGGGCUUAUUUUCCGCGUACCGAAUUGGGAAGUUGUGACUCGCAGGAUCCAAGAUAGACGGCAUCCACUGCGUUUGGCAGUUUUGCAAAUAAAAAAUAAAAUUGGCGUGCCAAAUACAUAUCUCAAUAGAUAAAUAGAUAGAUAGACACAUACAUGUCGCCUAAAAAAACAUACAUACAUACAUACAUACAUACAUACAUACAUACAAGGUAUUAACUAGUUAUUCAUAUAUUAAUCAACUUUCGUAAAUCAGUACGUGUGGGAAUUUUUCUUAUAGAUCCGUCUUUGCAAAACUUGAGAUGUGAAUCAGAACCACUUAGAGAUCGAUCUUGUUUCCAAGAAACAAAAGAUGGUAAAAGUUCAAAUGCAAUUUGCCAAACCAAAUACUACGUAGGAACAGUUGCUACAUUAUUAAUAGUUACUCUUAUUGCACACAACAGACAUUAGUAUUUCUUGCACAAGCAAAUCUGCUGUAAGCAAAUUCAAAAAAUUAAGGAGCAUGUACAGGAGGAGGGGAUGUCAUCGCCACUAGUAUGUCUUGUGAAGACGAUGGGUUUUUGCAAUCUGACUUGCAGUUAUCCAUAGAUUUUGAAGCAAGGAGAAAGCAAUCCGGAAAGAAAAGCACCAAUUCAUGUGUAGGAAGCAUCGAUUUAUAUGGAAGCAAGCUACAUACUACUAUACUAAAGACCUAUGUUAAAAGGACUAGCAAUCAACCUGCUGAAAUCCAGCGGCGGAAUCAGAGGUAACCAUCAUUAACUAGUUUCAGUUUUGGGAACACUCAACGGGGGAAGGUGCCUUGCUUAUCCAACGGGUGCAUGGGAUCCAAUCCGACGCCUCUCUACUGGUCUGAUAGAAUGCUAGGCAUCAGCAGUCUAAUGCCUAGCGGUUCCCUUUCCUAAUACACCCCAUAUCAACAUCUUCCGGGAGAGGAUUGACUAUCAGCAAGCUUUUUCAUAACUCGUUCUUUCAACUUAUGCCAUGGGUUUCGAGCUCUUCGGAGUCCAUAAGAUGUUACUCAAAGUACCCACUAGGCAAUGAAGCCUGGCGUUAUCAGCCGCUACCACUGAUGUUUAUGAGCAUCCGUUACCACAGUAAUGGAUACAAAUUAUUAUACAUUAAGGGACAUGUAACAUAGCUAGCUUAGGGGGACAUGGGGUAGGGUACAUCAAACUCUAUAAAAGCCUACCCCGCUUCCGCCCGGCUACAGGCUCGGAACUCAUGUAUUCUCAAACUCAUACACACUAACACCCUCUGCGAGAUAGGACUAGAGUUGUUGCGAGAUAGGACUAGAGUUAUUACCUCCAUCGUCGAGGGGCCUGAACUCAUGUAUUCCCCAUGAUGUAGUUGCGGCACGGCGACAUGUCGAUCUGCGUCUGCAUGCACCCGCUCGUCGUCGACUUCGCUGAGGCCAGGAUCGCCACAACGAUGAGCACCGCUGCGGCGAGCAUGGACGCCGCCCUCGCUGCCAUUCUUGCUCCCCUUCCUUGCUUGAACACCACCGGCCGUCUCUCUCCCUCUCUCUAGGUACCGUAGUGGUUGCCUUGCCUUGGUUUGUGCCUAGCUCUUCUCUUGCUUUAUAUAUAGGCGGAGAAGGUGGCAGCAGGAACAAGACACGACCGAGAUCGAGGGUGGUUUGGCACCACGACAUGAAUGUCUGGUGUUCCUCGCGGAUAUUGAUUGUUUUCUCUUCUAGAGAAUUAAUUAUACCAAACACCCCAAAUCAACCUCUUCCGAGAGAGGAUUGACUAUCACCAAGCUGCCCCAUAACUAGUUCUUUCAACUUAUGCCACGGGUUUCUAGCUCUUCGGAGUCCAUAAGGUGUUACUCGAACUACUGAAGCCUGGCGUUAUCAGCCACUACCACGGAUGUUUAUGAGCGUCCGUUACCACAAUAAUGGAUACAAAUUAUUAUACAUUAAGGCACAUGUAACAUAGCUAGCUUAGGGGGGCAUGGGGUAGGGUACAUCAAUCAAACUCUAUAAAAGCCUACCCUGUAUUCUCAAACUCAUACGCAAUAACACCCUCUGCGAGAUAGGACUAGAGUUGUUGCGAGAACCUCCACCGUUGAGGGGUCUGGAUCUGUAUACAUCUUUCCAUCCCACAUUCUAUCUUGAUAGAUCAAGCUCUUUUCCUCUAUCCCUCUUACUGUCAGAUUUAGCACCACGACAUUUUUUUCUUCUAUCAAAAAGGUGGUUAGACCCCCGGCCUCUGCAUCAAUCGAUGCAUACAGUCAUCUUUAUUAGUUAUUCAACAAAGGUCUGACAAGAACAUACAUCAAGCAACCCGAAACCACCACCCACACCUACAGACUCGAUAAUAUGGAGUGCUCUCACCCUUCAUAUCUAAAACCAGUGUCAUCGCCGAUCCAUCCACAUAACGUAUCGGAACCAACAGCCGGUGCAGAAGACCUAAAGCGCACAUCACAUGCACACGUUUUAGAAGCCGUCAUCAUCAUCGUGCCACUGACCCAUCUUCAGGAUAGAGAUCCGCAUCAUCCUUACCAGUCCAGACAACCGUCGACGUCACCACGCCGCGGCGCCACCGCCCUGCGUGUCCAUCUAGACGCGAAGACUCUGAAAGAUCUGUCGUGCGUAGCACCUGCCGACCAGGCAUGACACAACGUAGCACCUGUCGGCCAGGCAUGACUUGGCAUCUCCACCGAAGCUCCGUGCAAGACUAAGCCGCUCCACCUCCUGCCUCUGUCUUCCAGCGCUGCUCCACAAACGGUGCUCCCAAAAGAGGAACGACACCGUAGUACCGUCAUCGUCCGAUCUGGAUUACCAGAUCUUAGAGUUUCCCCCGAAGCAGCACGAGUGAGUCGACAUAUAUUACACGACGAUGCCUUCAUGAAGGUAACGACGCAAGACGCCGCCAUCGCCCCGCCAUCGGCUUGGUUUUCACCGGAAACUCUGUUUUCCCAACUCACAACCGGGACUAGAUGACGGAUCUGGAGAUCCGACCACCCAGCCUCAGGCUGACCAUCUCUGACGGAGGAGGUGGCCACCACCGCCACACCCAGGGCCGCAGCCCCCGCCGACGUCCUCGAGUUGCGGGUCGAUCCCAGGGACAGCAAGCCAUUGACGGAACGGUAGACGAGGUUGCGGCCCGCCGAAGCCCAUCUAGGCCCAGAUCAGGCACCGUCGCUGGACCUGCCGUCGUACGCCGUGGCCGUCCCGCACACACUGCCGUAGAUCCGGCCAUCACGGGCCGCCGCCGUCCGGACCGAAGCGCGGGCUGAGGAGAAACGCCGCCGCCGCUGCAGCACACAGGCUUUUCCUGCGACGCCCCCGGCGGCGGCGGCGGCGGCGGGAGGAGGCGCUGGAGUGAACGGGGGGAGGCGGAGGAGGCGCCGCACGGGAGCAGGAUAGGGUUAGGUGCGGGAGCGGGAUAAUGUUCCUCUUUCUCAAACGAUUCUUCUAAGGUAGCACCACGACAUGCAGCUUGGUCUUCUCCACACCCAACCACAAGCAUGAAUCUGCUCAGCUAUCCUAGCGAGCAUGGCUCAGCUAGAUCUGCCUGAGGACUAGCUCGCCUAGCUGCAGAGUGCGUGAUGCGUCCAUGCACGCACGCAUGCAUGUUCAUGUCACCUGUGUGGCUCAAGGAUGACGAUGGAAUAGAAUGUUGGGUGAUGAUGCUGAAAUAAAAAGACUUUUCCUGCCUUCUCCCGUGUUUCCAAUCUCCGUCACUUGCUAUAACUUUUUCAACCAAAAUAGCGUAGGGAAACCAUCGGAAAAAAAAAACUUACGAAAUAACUACGAAUUUUUUAGACACAAAUAAGCCGCUGAUCAGGCUGCACAUUACAGCAGGACACAUGACAUGCUCUACAAGCUAGUAAUUUCCUGGUACUGUUGCUUUCGACGAGAUUGAGUGGACUAUCACCCCAGAGGGACACAUAUAUUUGUUACUCGUGAGCGUUGAAUUCAUUCAUCAACCUUUAGUUUGCCGAUUUACCUCCCAAUUCAAGCCGGCACUGUGUUUGGGAAAUGCUACUCCCUGGCCUCUGCUUAUCAUGCCCAAUUCAUGGGGCCAUGACCACUUCAUGGGGCCUGCCAUUUGAAAAUUUCGGGCUCCUAAAAAAUGUAUUCAAAACUGGGUAUGGUUAACAGGAUCGUUUUGCCAAGUGUGGAUGGUCAAAUUGUGGGCUUCACCCAUUGUGGAACAAAAUUAUUGCAUGGCUUUGAUGACGCCAAGCCUCGUGGAUAGAGGUGGUGCACGACGGGCACAAACCAUGAAAGGCGGUGGCAUCACUCAUCAAACUUGUCUCUUGGAGGUAUGGAAUGAGCGCGAUGCAAGGGUCUUCAACAAUGCUUCUCGGUUCCUCAAUCAUCAUCUCCAAUAUACGAAAUGAGACGAGCAAUUGGGUUUAUGCCUGCUCGAAACACUAGUGUAAUUUAAUGCUAGAAAAGUAGCUUUUUAUUCCUUCAGGCUUUCAAACUUUAAUCUGAACUCUCUUUAGUUAGGACACUCGAGUAGGAUGAUGCGCGACCCAUCAUGCAUCGUUAACAUCAUGGUGCAUGAUUUUUUUUUUCAAAAUUUCCAAAAAUUUCAAAAUUGUGAACAAUUUUUAAAUUCACAUCUUUUUUCAAUUUCACAAACCAUUUUCAAAUCCAUGAUUAUUUUUUCUUCCCAUUUUCAAAUCCUUGGCAGCACCAAGCGGGCUGCCAACAUGGACGAACUACUCGGCUGACCUCUACCGAGUGGAUUUGAAUGCACUAGGUACGUCCAUACGUCCAUAAGUGUAGCCAUGCAUGCAUCAACCUUUUUGCUGACCCUAGUCAUGCCGAACUACGUACUGCAGUUCAGUAACUAGCCGGGUCGCGGCAUGUGGGGCGUUAAUUAGCUACUAAGGCUGCCAGCCAUCGAGCUCGGAGUCUCGGACCGUGCGUGUCCGCCUAUAAAUACACCGGUGUUGGCGACCACAUGCAACCACGUGACCACGUGCUGUUGUCGACGCCUCUCGCAGCGCCCCUUCCUCAGCUUUGCUGAGAGGUUCUUCCCUUAGGUGCACACAUGCACUACAUUUUCUGCCCAGCCCUCACGGCCUCCUUCUUUUUGUUAACUCAACUCAAUGCAGAUGGUCGCGGUCCCGCUGCCUAGCAAGCGGAUGCCAUUGCUGCAAGAAUGCACGAAAAUUGAAGAACGAGUCAGAAGCCUGUCAGGGAAAAAUCCACUCAAUCACCAUUUUAUUGCGCAUAGUCCAAAGGGUCCACGUCAGCGCCGCAAAGAUAAGCCAGAACAAGCGGCGAUUGCGUCCCCUCUGGGUGGCCCUAGAUUGCAGUAACUCUGCCAAAUCUAGGGCCUCCCAGUCUGACCCAAGGGCCUCGUGCACAAAGGACCAAAGUGCUUGGGCCGCGAGACAAGAGAACAUAAUAUGGGUUCCUGUCUCUGGGACGUGACAUAGGGGAUAAAUACCAUCAUCCGGGCUGUGCCGCUUAAGAACCUCUGUUCCAGAGGGAAAGCGGUCACGCAGAGGCUCUUCCCUUGGUGCGCACAUGCGCUACAUUUUUUGCCCAACCCUCAUGGCCUCUUUUUUAUUAACUCAAUGCAGUACAUAUAUAUGCACCAGGGGUCGGACACACCCACAAACCCGGCCACCACGUUGGCCACUAACCCAACUAAUUAGCUCCAUGCACUAACUACCCAUGGCCAUGUCCAGUGCGUGCGCAUCAUUGACUCAACUCUACACGACCCAUGAAUGCACGCGAACGGACUAACUAGUACACCGAUUCUCUUGGCUCCAGUCCAGCUAACCCAUUCAACCAGUCUAGCUCCAGCGCGCCUGGCCGCUUCACGCGACCGUGCCGCAUCCCAUAGCACCGCAGGCAACUCCUAACCAAUUCUACCUGCAUAACAAAAACAAACAUGCUCAUACACAUACAGGGCCGGCCCUAGAAUUAAGAAGGCCCUAGUGCAAAUGAGGUAUUAGAGGGUAACAUAAAUAAUUUCACCGGUAUAUACUACAUAUCAUGAAAAUUAUUAUAAAAAUAUAAAAAUCAAAAAUACAGUUUAUUAGCAAAUAAAGUCUUACUACACCAUAUAUAUAUGUGAUUACAUUAAAUAAUAAUUAUAAGAUACAUGUACUUAGACAUAAACAACUUACCGAAUAAAUACGAUGUGGAGAAGUGUAGGGGGGCAAAUGCCCCCGUCCACGGACAACAGUUUUGAAUAUAUGUUUCGCAAACCACAUUUUUUCUAGUUUUAUUUAGGUAUGUAUAUAUAGUGGGCCCUUAUUUGAGAUGGGCCCUAGGCCGCCGCACCUUUUGCCAUGGCCUAGGGCCGGCCCUGUACACAUAUCAAGAUUAGUGCAAACCAACUUGUGGUUGGAUAGAUAGAGGGACAGUGGUAACCCCAGCUCACCAGGGUUUAAAUCCAGCUGGGGUUUAAAUCCUGAUGCUCGCAUAAUUCCUAGAUUUAUUUCAUGAUUUCCGGCGAUGCGCUUUUAAUGGGAGAAGACGUUCGUAAAUCUCAAGAUGAUAUGUCGGCUUAGUCUCUCGAAGGUGCUCAUAGAGAUAUGAUGUGUGUGUGUGCAUUAAUAGGGAUGAGUGUAUGCGCGUAUGUAUGAGCGCUUGCGUCUGUACUGUGUUAAAAAAAAUUAGUGCUAACACCUAUUUCUAUUUUAUUUCUGGACGCACCACAGCUCAACUCAUGGAUACAACUCACGCCACAAACACACGUCCAUCAAGUACUCCUUGAAAGCUCUCCAUGACCUAGCUACACAACUAACAGACAUGCAUGCACUAACAAUCCAUCUCUGAACUAACUUCCGUCCGGUUGAUCAGGCUUCAACCCCACACGCACCUUCUGUUCGACGCGGCCGUAUGCUUCUGCUGUGCCUCUGAUGAGCCAGGUCUCCUGCUCAGACGAGCGUUCUAAUUAUCCGUAUGAAACGGUCACAAAUGCUCAAUCCGACGAAGACAAAAUCCACAAACUCGGCAUGGAAUACACCUCGUCCGAAUACAUCAUGUUUGCUUCAAAGUAUACAAAUGUAACAUCCUUUGAGUUAAACGUGUUUGGGAAUUUUUACUGUUAACAUGGCAUGCCUCGUUCACUACUGCCGGAUUACUGUUUCCGGUGAAAAGAUUGAUAAAUCUCCCACAUACCUAUAAGGAACACGGUACUAGCUCUGCCAACUCUAAGGAUGUUACUGUCCUCACGCGUGAUCACUGGAAAGUGAAUAUUAACUAGUUUUAGCCACUUGCACUCUUAUUCUUUGGAUAAUUACCAGUCAGUAAGAGCCCUACUCUCUUCCCAGGAUCUCCAAGACUAUUUCCACUUAACCUCUCAGAGGAAGCUUUUUUUCAAUGCAACCUUAUGCGCAUGUCUUGUGAAAUGAUUUCUCCCUUUCUGAUCAGCCAGAAAUAUGUCGUUUCCAUGGCCUGCAAUUACAUUUCAAUGUAUAUCAAGCCUAUAGUUUGUUAAUUGGAAAUCACCCAACUAUCGCGGCAGUGCAUUUGGCAAAACAUGGUGUCAGAGUAAACAUAAAGAUUUUUGUGGUUGUUUAUCAACAAUGGAGUCAACAUCAGAGAAUUAUACCACAGAAAAAAAAUUAUUCAUCCCUCACUAAAGCUAUGUCAUGCGUCGGGAAUGGAGUAAAGGUUGUUGUCAAAGCCAUAUGGGUCUUACCUCUGCUUCUAUGUGGGGGUUUAUAUUAGAACUUAGUACUCCCUCCGUAAAGAAAUAUAAGAGUGUUUAGAUCACUAUUUUAAUGAUCUAAACACUCUUAUAUUUCUUUACAAAGGGAGUAUAUAUUUGUUAUUAUGUUUCGGCCUUAUGCAAGAACAUAAUGAUACAUCCCGCUCAAAUAGUUGUAGUAAACGAUGGUCAUCGGAUCACGAUAUCAAGAGCGUAUUGGUGCUGAGACAGGCACAAUUCAGCUGAGCCGCGGUGAACGUUGACACCCAGCGAGGAACUUUGUAAAUGGGGAACGAAAGCACACCUCUGUGCCAACAAAGAAUUUGUACUUUGUACAAGAUGCCAGCUGGUGGCCAGACAUGAUCGCGCCGGGCUGCGGGUCGGAACAAAAUACGGAACGAAUUAGCUACUUAUCAGUCGACUGAUUUUUCAGUUUGGGGUAAGUCAAUUUUUGAACGAAGGAAAGACCUCGCCGGAGAUAAGGAAAGACCUCGCCGGAGAUAAGGAAGGGACUCGCAUGAUUCUGGAAUAAAAUGUUGGGUCAUGAACUCAUGAUCGGUGCUGGAAUAAAAUGAGUUUUCCUACCUUCUCCUCCGUUUCCUCCCUCUGUCACUUGCUGCAAUCUUUUCAACGAAAACCACGUACAAGAAUUGGCAACCGUCCGAAAUACGCCCGAAGUUACGAUGAGUCACUCACAAAUAAGCCGCAGGACGCUGCACAUUGCAGCAGAAAACAUGAGAUGCUCUACAAGCUAGUAAUUGCUUUGCUGUACUGUUGGUUCCAUCGGGAUUGAGCACAAGAAGGCACACCUUUGAUUACUUGUACGAUGUGUGGCUUUAAACACUAUGUCACCUGCUCAUUAACUCGUGUGCAUUGAAUUCAUUUAUCAACCUUUAGUUUGGUGGUAUACAUUCCAAGUUCAGCUCCAUAUAAUCAAGCCCGCACUUUUUUUUGGAAGGGCAAAAGAUUUGACACAUUUAUUAAUUAAGAAUGAGCUUAACAAAGUCACUAACCCGAAGGCGAAAGAAAUGCCUACUCUCCAGACAUAAUAUCACUCAAGUGCCGAGCCCCGGCUAACACCCACUUGCACGUUUCAUCUCGGAUCUUGUCGAUGACUCUCAAGAUGUUGUUGAAGACUCUCGGGUUGCCUCAUUCCAAAUUACCCAUGGACGUUACUCCAUGGCCUCUGCUUAUCAUGCACAACUAAUGGGGGCACGGUCACUUCGUUUUAGUCUACCAUUUAUAAAAUUUGGGCUCUUGAAAGUUUUUGGGCAUGGCACUAUUCACAUCUCGACUUGUCUUUUUUGUUUCUCUUUGUAUAUUUCGGAUUUUGAUCUGAAUUUUUAGGGGUUGUAGACACAUGUGUUCUGAAACUUCACAAAAAUAUUACACAUCUAAAAUUGAAAUUUUCAAACUGGUAUCAUGGGAGCACUUACAAUACUGGAAAAACUGUCUACGCUGAGUUAUUUCAGCUAAGCCGAGAGCCAAAGUGCUGGCUCUCGGCAAAUUGGAUGAAUACCUUACUUCUAGUAUCUUUCCGGCAUUGGUGGAACAUAAUUCAGAUCCGUAUCACACUGAAACUAGUUGAAGUCAUCCUUGUCAUGAAGGAGAAUGUAGUUAUGCAGUGUCAUAAUUGCCGCAACAAUCAAUUUCUGUGUUUCAAUCAAUCUUGAGCAGUAUUUUCCAUUUCAUUUUCAGAACACCAAAGGCCCUCUCUAUGCAAUUGCAUCCGCUUGGAGGAGUGGAUCUUUUUUAACUUCUCCAUAGGAUUAGUAGGGGGUGCACCUCUCCGCAUGGUGCUUUUCCUGAAAGUCACAUCCCCGUUCGGUAUCCCGCAACUUGAGUUUCGAAAAUAUGUUGUGAUCACCUUUUAGCUUGUCCUAUUUGAUUUUAAAUCAGACAUGUUUGUAGUCGAGCCCGAUUCACAUCUUGAAUUUCCUUCACACCUCCUCAAAUACAUUUGGCAUCAAAUAAUUGUUUGGCCUAUUUGCAUCCUUCACUUGCUCCACAAACAACUCAGUGAGAAUCCUAGUAUUUUCGUCAUAGGUCCAUUCGGUGGCCAUGCUCAACAAUUGUCUGAGAAAAUGCUCACAUGUCCUAGGAAAAUACACAUGGAUUGGAGCGAAGGUGCUUCUGUGUAUAGCCAAACUCUUGUAAUAUAAAUUGAUGAUGCCCGGCCUGUUGUUGGGGGAAGCUUGUUAAAUAAAUGCAUUCAUAGUUGCUAAGACAGUCUGAUGAAAAGCAAAUGUAAGCUUAUAAAACUAUAGAAACUGAGAACUGUGUAAAAAGAUAAAAAAUAAAUUCAGUUAAAAGAAUGCUAUUUCUAACAAAAACAUGAAGGAUGAACUACAUAGGUAUGCUGCAAUCGCCUAACACAUAUAUUGUCAAUAAAAAGUCUAGUGUAGAAAAUUAACUUAUGACCAACAUGUAUUAAUUGAUGAUGUGGCAAUGUUGUGUGCAUAGAUUAGUGCAAAAAAAUAACUUAUGACUUACAUGCAUGCCUUGCUUAUGUGGCAUGGUGGCAUGACUAAGAAAAAUAGGUAAUGGUUUGUAGCUAUUUAGGAAUAGAGGGUGCGUUCAAUUUUUUUAUUGUGUCCAUAUGCGCAUCUGCCCAUUAUUUGCACACAUAUAAACGCAUCCCAGUAUACUUGGCACACUUCAAAUUAAGGAGCUAGGGUACAUUUGCACACGUUGCACAAAAAUCACUACACAUCAUACAUUCAAAGAUAGCACCACAAGAAAGUAAAAUACCCAUCACCAUACCUGCCACAGGCAGAGCUUGGGGAAGUAGUACAAGGGGAGCUCACCACGGGUUUGAGCGAGGACUACCGUCUGGGUCAGCCCGGAAAGGAUGGCAAGCUUAGAGGUGCGGGGCAAAUGGGUAAGCGUCAGUGGGGAAGCUCGACAGUCGGCGAUGGGGUAGUUGUGUGCCUAGGGUUUGCAUCACAAGGUCGAANNNNNNNNNNNNNNNNNNNNNNNNNNNNNNNNNNNNNNNNNNNNNNNNNNNNNNNNNNNNNNNNNNNNNNNNNNNNNNNNNNNNNNNNNNNNNNNNNNNNNNNNNNNNNNNNNNNNNNNNNNNNNNNNNNNNNNNNNNNNNNNNNNNNNNNNNNNNNNNNNNNNNNNNNNNNNNNNNNNNNNNNNNNNNNNNNNNNNNNNNNNNNNNNNNNNNNNNNNNNNNNNNNNNNGGCAGAGGGGGAAUCUACUCAAUCCUACCUAACCUACCUAACUAAAUACCCCUGAAUUUCACUAUCAUGAUGUGGAUCCCCAGCGAGGCAUUACAGGCGCGGCCACCACUGCAAUGGGUGGGUGGCGGUGCUUGCGGUCCUCUCACUGACGUUCUUCCAAAAGUGGCGACAAUGUUGCUCUGUCAUAAUACCAAUCUUGAUCUACUUAUCAUCACAAGAAACACCUAUGCAGCGAAGGUGAAGAUUUUAACCAUGGGGCGGCAUCACCCUAGGUUGAUACUCUAGAAGAAGGCCGCAAUAGAGAAACACCAGACGAGGGCAAAGCAGAGAAGCAAAGGAUGGAGAGGCGAUGGUGGCACCGUCCUUGCCCCAAACGUAGUUGUGUUCGCCUCGCUUUGUCGCCUUCAGGAAAAGCAAGUACACCCUUAUGUUUUUUCCUAUUAAGUAUUUUCUCAUCUUAGUUAUGAAAGAGAGAAUACUAAUUGCAUGUUGUAUACCAUCUUCUCAAUUUUUCCAAGAGUUUAGAAGGAAUUGCAACAACAUAUCAAGUGUUACUGUCCUUUGGCUGUUUACGGUGGUGUGUACGAGUUUGGAGCAUAUGUUGCUAGUGAUGUUUUUGUCCACAUGGGUGGCGGCAUAAUGUAUGUACUCCCUCCAUCGAAAUAUAUAUGGCCUAAUACAUUUUUCGAGGUUGCCUUUGACCAUUGAUAAAAUUGUUAAUAUAAGAGAUGUACGAUAUAAAUUAAGAACACAUUUCACAUACGAAUUUGACGGUAUGCUUCGUGUAGCAUGCAUGCCAUAUAUUAUUGAUCUAACAUGUGGUAAAACUUAACCUUGAAAACUUAUUAUGCCCUAUAUUUUUUAUUGGAGGGAGUAUAGGCUUUCCACUCCAUACAUCUAGGCAUAGUCACGGUCUUGUUUGACUUUGCUUUUACCGGCAUAGUACUUUGUGCGAGUUUGCAUUGGUUGUGUGUAUUCUGGUUAUGUAGAGGUGUGGGUAUAAACUCAUUAGCUUGUAUCACCUUGAUGCCAUAUUAUGUGUCAAUAAACACCCUUAUUUAUCAAAAAGAACUCUCCUCACAUCUUCCCACAUAACUUUUGGGAUAUUCUCAGAAUUAUACAAGGGGAGAUGUUGUACCACGGGUAGUGUUAAGAGUAUGAUUAGCUGAUUAUUGUUAAUUAGGUUGCUUAUUGCUACUCAAUAAAGACUAGUUAGAUGCAUUUAUUUGUCUAUCUGUCUCGUUCUUUACUUUAACACAACCAAAGGAAAUGGAUGUGGAUGGAAGUACUACACGGAGCGAGCCAGCAGGCAGCCAUCAUUGACGAACUACCCCGCUGACCCUCUACCCACUGGGUUUCAAUGCAGAACGUCCCUAGGUGUAGCCAUGCAUGCAUGAAUGCAUCAACCUUUUUGCUGACCGUAGUCAGGUCGAACUAGUAGUGCAAGUGCAAUUCAGUACCAGGGUGUUCAACUGAUAAUUGCACAGGACGAGAGCGAUUGAUAAUGCGGGAUUGUUCUACUGUCUUAAUCAACCACCUGCUCCGUCGGCGGCCAUGGCCACGUAUUCGGACGGUGCAUGGCCAGGCCAGCUAUAAAUACCCCAGGAGUUCCAGCACCCCUCUCCUCACCACCAUCUCUCCCAUUCCCAUCACACAAGACACAACGUACACCUCUGCGACCGCGAUAGCGAGAGUGGAAGAGUAGAUCGACGGGCAUGGCGAUAUGAGGAAGGAGGUCCUCCUGGCGGCCAUGAUGCUGGCGCUGGUGGUGGCGGCGCCGGGCGGGGCGCGUGCCGCGUGCGUGGUGGGGCAGCUGACGGUGUGCAUGCCGGCGAUCACCACCGGUGCCAAGCCGAGCGGCGCGUGCUGCGCCAACCUGCGCGCGCAGCAGGCGUGCUUCUGCCAGUACGCCAAGGACCCCUCCCUCGGCGCCUACAUCCGCAGCCCCCACGCGCGCGAGACCCUCGUCACCUGCGGCCUCGCCGUCCCGCACAGCUAGGCGCCAGGCCGCCUAGCGAGUAUGUAUGGCUCAGCUAUAGCUGCCUCCGCCGUCCAUCAGAUGAGAGAUGAGACUAUAGCUAGCCUAGCUGGUGAGUGCGCGAUGCGUCCAUGCCGCAUGCAUCCAUGUUCCUGUUCGAUGGAUGAUGAUGGAAUAAAAUAAAAGAUGUUGGGUGAUGAUGCUGGAAUAAAAUGACCGACUUUUGUUAACUUCAUUCUCCUCUGCUUCCUAUGUCCGUGGUUACUUGCUGUAAGAUUUCAACCAAAAUUACUACGAUCGGGUUUUGUACUUGUAGACACAAGUAAGCCACUGGUGAUUGCCUGAUACUCCUACAUUGCAACAGCUAACAUGAGAUGCUCUACAAGCUAGUAACUGCCUGCUGCUACUACUGUCGCUUUCAACGGGAUUGCUUGUGUGUAUAUGCGAUGUGUGGUGUGACUUUAAACACUGUGGCGCGUACUCAUGUGCGUUGAAUUCAUUUAUCAGCCAGCAAUCAAGUUCAGCUCCAUACAAUCAAGCCGGCACUAUUUUUUUUCCGCAAAGGGCAAAACAUUU
rnacentral:lncRNA from 1 species